rnacentral:tRNA from 1 species
GGGGAUAUAGCUCAGUGGUAGAGCGCUUGCCUAGCAAGCGCAAGGCCCUGGGUUCAGUCCCCAGCUCCG